GCCUGAGAUAUUCUGCAUAUAACAUGUAUAUACGUCACCAGGUGGUUUUAAAGAUCCGACGACUCAAUUUGAAUGCAAUUUGGAGCGCAUUUGCAUACGUCAGGAUGAAAGCUGAAGUUACUUAACAGACGUCUCGACCAUUAAAACACGUUCCUUCCCGAGACAGGAUGUUGUUGAAGAUAUAAAUUUCUUUUAAUUGUGUUUAUACAUACGAAUCUAUGAUGCAUAUGGUAAUUCUCGCAGGCGUGCACAUUCAUCAGAGAAUCGGAUAUAUGAGCUUUUCUUAAUAUGUUUUUCUUCGUAGAAACGUGUAGCGCAUCGCGUAGAUUGUCGCAGCGGGCAAUCGCGUUCCGCAGUUUUUCAAGCGCAAUGCUUACGCAAUUCAGGCCGUGUUUCAAUUUCCAAGUCUAACAGCCUCGCCACUGUGCAUCGGGGAGGAUUAUCUUUACAUCAUUCUCGUCGAGAUGACAAAUGCCUAGAGACCGUGCGAGCGGUAUAUCGAAAUUAGAGAUCUCGUACGUGUCCGACUAUUGACGAAGGUCUUUAAUCUUGCCUCGUAGAUGGACCCUAACGAUCACGGUUCGCCUUAUCAACGCGGUCGCCCUUCCCCCGGGAAAACCUUGUCUUUUGUAUUGUCACGUGCGUAAUAACGCAUCAGUCCCGCGUAACGCAAUCGCACCGAUGUCAGGCAUAUAAAUCGAUCUAAUCAGAAUAAAUAUCGGCGGCAAAUGGAAGUUUGUACUCUGUGUGGGAGUUCAUGAGAAGUACGCACACGUUUUUUUUUCUAUUUUUUUCUUUGCAAAUUCGAGAAACGUGAAAAUCAUAUUUUUUCAUCGCGCAACAAAUACAAACGGAUGACUGUCGGUAGUAUUUUAGGAUACGUACGCAGAAUACAUUACGGCUUAUCUAUCGCUUUUAGUCUUGAAUUUUUAACGAUGACGACAGACGCCAAACAUAAAACUCUUUCACAAUGUUCUUUGGAAUCUGAUUAUUCAGCGAGAAAAAGAGAAAGAUCUACGACGCACGGUAAAAGUGUGGUUGUUUUGAAAUCCGCACUCGCUGACGCGCAGUGCGAAAAAAAGUUUUUUCUUUAGUCUCUUCAUUUAAUAUUCAGAGGUGAUGUUAUAAUUUAGACGACGUAUAAAUCGGUCCUUUUUAUUUAAAUAUCUCGCUGAUUUUCCCUGUUAAAUAAUUCAAUUCAGACAUUGUAAUAAUAAUUCACAACAUUUACAAAGCGCAUGGGAAAAAAAUGGUGCUAAAUUAACAUAGCAUUAAUAGCAGUCUAAUGAAUAAUAAUAAAGUUAAAAAUGUCGAAAUAUCAUGUCACUCAAGAAAUUAAUUUAAAUUUGAUUCUUAUAAUAUAAGAAUAUCCAAUAGUGUACUGAUGAAACACAAUAUUUUAUUAUUAUAAGAGUAUGAGAAUAGUAUCGUUUUAUUAAUAUUGUUAUCGAAGAAGAUUAUUUUAAUAUUUUCAAUAAUUCCAAUAUUUCCAAUAAUUAGACUAUUAAUUAUUGGAAAUAUUGGAACUGGACUGAAAUAUUGGAAGUGUGUGUGUGUGUCAGAAUUUUUUUAGAUGUUUUUUUUUACAGAGCUCAAAAAUCUUUUCAAAAACUCUUUCAAUAUCAGUGAUCCGAUCAAACUAGGAAAGCAGCAAAAGAAAACUUUGAACCACGAAGGAUUAAUAUAUUUCUUGCUACUGGGUUUUUAGUGAUUUCAUAAAAAUGCUCUCUCUUUCUCUAUUUUAUUCUCCCACUCUCAUUGGAAGGAACACGCGCGGGUGUCUUUACGAUGAUCAGUCUUCUGACGAUCGAAGAAUUAGAAACGGUGACGAACGGCAGUCACGUGCGGCACUCAAGGAGGAGGAUGGCAAGUGGUAAAUGGGAAAUUGUAAGCGGGUAGGCCACUAGUGCGCUCCGAACAUGAAUGAAUGGAACCUGCUUCGCUGCUUACAUGUCCAUUAUAGGCACCGCGCCCGUAUGUAUGGUACGUUCGUACACGUAGCGCAUGUUUACGUAGCGGCGCGGCGGCCUCUCCGUCUACGAUCGGUCGCCAUCGAGCGCACACACUAAACACAUACAUACACACAUGCAACAUACGUGUCAGAUUCACAAUGCUAUGCAACCCGUUCGCCAGCGCGCGUGCUCGCGCGAAUAUCAUCGCACGAUGGCGCGAUCUGUUUAUCUCGCGUCCGUAUGUUUACGAGAGAUCCUACAAUGAGAGCUGCGACAAUGUGGAUGCAAAAGCGAUGAAUAGAAAGAUAUAACAAUAUUUGUAUUUCGUUUCUCGUAUGAAUGCAUGAGCGGGAAGAACAGUGGGACGACGACUGUACAUGUUAGCUCUAAUCAAUCUAUAUUUUAAUGCUAAGUAAUAAAAAUAUAUACUAACAAUAAGAGACACAUAAAUGCUAUUCAAAGAAUAUUAAUAUUACAAAUUAAUGUCUAAUAAUUUAAUUACCAUUCAAAUAUUGCUUAAAUUGGUAUAGAUUCAAUAAAUAAAAAAUAUUAUUUUACUAUUUUGUUUAUAUAUUGUAGUACACGUACGUUUGAUGCAAUGAAUCAUCACAUGUUUAAAGUGACCUAAAAAAUAAUAAUAAAGUUGCUACUUACUCAUUUCUCUCAUAGCUAUUUCUUGCUUUGCUUUACCGAAAAUGUAUGAAAAUAUCCGAAAUAUAUCGAAUGGAUCAUGGAAGACGGAUCAAUCAGAAGAUCGGAUCUAAUUGUCGCAAUUUUCGUUAAGACUUGACGCUAGAAAGGACUUAAACACAAUGAAUGGAAGAGAACAGGGAACAGGAAAUAAAGGACAGUUCAAUAUGUUGAACGUUUCAUAUUUUCCUUAUUCAACAUAUUGGACUGUUUCUUAUUCCCUGUUCCGUUCAUUGUGUCUGGAAUGCUGGAACGGGAGUAUAAGCCUUUAAUUGGUCAUUCGUAAAAUUCUUUGUUCCAAUUGGCCAAUGAAACGCUUCGAAACAUUUGUAACAUUACAUGGAACAUAGCCUAAAAGGGAUCUCUGUACGAAAGACGCGUGCUAAAAGGAAUUAACAGCGAUCGUCGUCCGAUCUGUUUAUUUCCCGCGUUUGUGUGUUGCGAACGAGAGGCAUGUUUCAGUUCAGUACGCUGCUGCGCGUCGCCUAAGUCGCGUUGCGAGUGCCUGUGUGUGUGUGUGUGCAGCGUGUGCGCGAGCCGCGAGUCGGUGAAGCCGGGCAGCGGUUAAUGGAUCCUCGUUCGCCGCGUGGUGCGCGCGUCGGGAUUGAAUCGCCAAGGCCGCGGCGCGAUCGCGAGUGUGAUUCCACGAUGAACGGCCGUGGCCCCUGCACGGCCACGAAACCCGAUUCCCGCAUCUCCGAGACUCGUCGGUCGACGGGGAGGACGCUCCUGGGAGGCCGCCGGCCUGGUUCCCGACGGACCUAACCUAGUUGAAUGAUCGAGUCGCAUUGCGUUUCCCGCCCCGUCGCGUCGCUCGAUCGAAAUUCGACUUCUAGCGUACAAUCGAUGACUUGCAAUCGCAGUUAAAAUGUCCAAGAAUACUCAUCGCAGGUGUGUCUGAGACAGGAGCAUUCGAUAGUAUCGAAGCGUUUCUACAUAAAAACGAACCGCAUCCGUGUAUCGCGUUACGCAUCGGAUCAAAAUAUCAAAGAUGCAUCUCUGUGUGCCUGAAAAACGAUCUUCAUAAUUGCAGUCAGUCUUUCUUCUCCGACUGGAGCAACAACUUUCGAUGCAAGAGGCAGAAAGGUAAAUAUUUUUUGUUGGUUUGCGAGAAACAUUUGGAAGCAAAGGUACGCUUAUACCUUCCGAAAACACAGAAAGAAGCUAAUGAUCGUUUAAUUCUCAUGCUUUUUCUUUUGUGAAAAUAUAAUUAAUGUGUUUAUAAUUGUAAGCAAUUGGCUAGCAAUUAUCUGCAAAGAUUCAGGUUGAAUAGUGACGACUGUUAACUUAUUCCUUCACCUUUCAUAUUAUAGUUAUCUUUUUAAUGUGUAGUUGAGAGGAAGAAAAUAAAAUUGGAACUUGCGAAGGAACUAUGAAGAUGCGAUUUGAUUUUUGCGUCACCUCUUACUUAGUCCUAUUUGAAAAAUUCUAAUAGAUCUUUUUUAAAUUUAUUUUACGAUCAAGGUUAAUAUAUUUUCUCCUCGUGUGCUGGUAUUCUCAUAAGCAUCGAGUGUAGCAGCAGUGUUCAGUUUUCACCGAGUCGAUAGUGGUUUGUCUUUCGCGCACAUGCAUACACUCAUGUAUACACGAAUGAGUACGGCGGUCAAGAGAACACGGGCCAAACGAAAAGCACGUGUACGUACGUGUACGCAGGUAGGUGUGUAUACAGGUGAGCCGCGAACCCGUGCUCGUAGCCCUUCGGGCUAUGCACCGGCGCUCAAUGCCGACCCGGAGGAGAAUGAAGGAUGAGGAGCGCGAAAAGGGAACGGGAGUAACCGGGGCCCUCGUAAGACACGUGAAACUGACCAAUAGAUCCGGUUUAGCGAGUUUCCGGAUUCCACGGGGUCAUCGGGUGGGCCCCUUGGUUUGCGCAAGGAGCGGUAUCCCCGUCAUCGCCCCUCUUUCAGCUCUCCGUUCACGGACCGUCAGCGAGAGAGAAAGAGAGAGGGAGGGAGAGGGAGGGAGAGGGAGAGAGAGUACGGAAGGUUCGGUCACAGGACCUGCAACCCCUUGCCACUGUUCGUCCUGUAGUGCGCGCACUGUCCAUCCGCAUACAUUACCGCGAAAUCCGGUUUUCGACAAUACCUGAUGCGCUGCCCUCGCGCACCUCUCGCGAUGGCCCCGAUCAAGGGGUCACGCCUGGGUCCCGAAUGACUGGAUGGAGAGGAGCAUGCAACCUGCCGUGGGCAGUGUGAGAUCGCGGAACGGAGUGGAAGCGAAAGAGUUCGCGAGAUCUAUUCUCCCUGGGUUUUUUUUUCUGGCGAACGUAGUCUAACGUAUUUUAUUUAUUUUUAAUCUUAAUCGUAAUGAAUUUUUUUGUUGACAUGCGGAAUAAAGAGAGAAAAAUGGACUUAUUAUUUGUUUAGACAAUAAUUUUUAUCAGAAAAAAAAACAAAUAAAUCGUUGAUACGACAAAAAUGAUUGAUUCCUUAUUUUAAUCACAAUUUUCUUUAAAUAUUUUAAGAGUUUAAAACGAGAGGGAGAGAGAGAGAGAGAGAGACUAAAGAUUCUGAAAUAAUCAUCUUACAUAAAUAAAGUCUAAUGUUUUCUCUCAUGGACGAUGCGCCCUACCCAUCGUAGCAGCAAUCUCCCUCUUUCCUGAGCCGCGCGAUGCGCAAUGACCAUUCGCAUACAUUAUCGCCCGUCCAUCGAAAUCCGGUUUUCGACAAUACCCGGUGAUACGAACCAGGGCUUCGGUCACCCUCCCGAAAGAGAAGAGCCGCGCGCAACCUGCGACGAAACUCGUGAGACCGCGGCGAGGGAUACACACGUGGUGGAAUAAGUUGAGGGACAGUAACUAUGGUCUCUGUCCGGCCGUGAUGGCGACGACGGUGCGCAGAUUUCCUUUGGGGAUGACCAUCGAUGACCGGGGGGUUGCGCGAGCGACUUCUUUCUCGUUUCUUUUUUUUUCAAUUCUUUAUUUCCUCCGUUCUCGUCACCGGUCCGGUGGGAACGAAAACCUGAUCGGGGGAGUCUUCGUCCACUCUGAUCGUCCUGCAACCACCUUGACGUCGCAAGCGCGCGAGAGAGACAGAGAGGGAGAGAGCGUGACGCGGAGGGAUGGACGGAGAGGACAGUCGUGAACCGUUUGAACUUACCAACCCCGUAUAGACAUAUGCGCGCAAUGAGACUUGGUGGCCAGUAAGAUCGUUAUGUUGUUCGCAGGGUCAUGGGAAAACCAGGCUAACCGGACAUUGGUCACGAACGGAACUGGAACUUCCUUUGAUAAGUCGCGGCGCGUGGAGAGCGUCACGACGCGCCUCGUGGCGCGGGGAGGAUACUCGUCUCUCCCCGAGCCGAUUUCAGCGAGUUAACGUCCGCCUCGAGAGAAAGGGAUGGAAAAGAAAAAUUGCGCGGCAGUUACAUCCGAGAUUUUGUUCGAGCCGUCUGUCCGACGACGACGACGGUUACCGCCUUGAGUUCUAACCGCCGCCCGUCGUCGCUCUCUAACGUCUCGCGACCGACAUUUGUUGGCCUAACUUUUGACAUCGUAUUAACGGCUAAGGCAUCCAACGAAUGCGCGGGACGGUUGGAACGUUGAGCUUAACGAAUUUUCUAGCCCUCUUCGUCCACGAGCGCUUUACCGGAUAUGCUUAUUACACCAUUAGAUUUCGCUUCUUUACAGCGCUGCGCCGUGCGCGCAAUGACUCAGGAAAUAAUUGAGGAAAUUGAAAUCUGUUCAAAUAUAUCUGUUGCGGAAUUAUUGCAACACGCUGUUACGCAAGUCUAAUGUGAAAAGGCAUUCGCGUGUUAUCGAUUUGCUGAAAUAUGUCAAACUACCAUUCUUUUUUUGCCCUCGCGCCGACAUAGAGCUGUACAAUAUGAAAUGAAUUAAUGGACGAAGCAUGUAAGUGCAAAAUGCUUCGGGAAUUGUUCGGGAGAUUGAUCCUUGAACGGCUGCCAGGCACGGCAAAGAAAUCGAUCGAGGAAAUUGACUUCUUUUUCUUACGCUCCGAUAGGUAACCGCAAUAAACGGCGCAGCGCGGCGGUAGCCAAAUGGAAUCUAACGUAUUGCAUAAGAGCGAUAUUGCCGUCUGCCGUUUUGCAAAAAGACUCACAACUCACCCGCCAGAUCUAUCGCGCAAUAAUGAACGUUAACGCGCGAGAUAAUACGCAGGCCGCCUGACGUCUACAUUAUUAAUCAUUAAUAAUCGUAACGUCCCCCUUUCCCGAAGCGGGCGUCAGCGGCGGUAGCCGAUACCCGGCUGUGAUACUCCAACGGAAUGAAAUCAUAUACGUCUCGACGAAAUAACUCGUGGCCUACGCGCGGGGGACGCGCGUUUCGUCGAGAUAUUGACACAAAAGCCAAGUGUUUCCCGGUAGAGCUAUCGUAAUGCAAUCGAUGCCGACUUAACGUGCUAAUUAACUCGCGCGGUAUUGAAAGCUGCCUUGCAGUCGGGGACCGUUCGUGCCAUUGACGAACGUUAAGAGAACGUCAUCGUAGAAAAUUACACUUCGCUCCGACUACCCUCGCGGAUAAACCGCAAUAAACUCGUCGCGCGGCGGUAGGUAAAACGCUCACUCGCGUUGCGCUAGAUUUCCUACGAGAGAGGAUAAUUCCUUCGCCUUCAUUGGCGCACGCGAGAGCGCAAAUCGCCGGGCGAUUAUUGUCAGACAACAGGCCGAACAAAAAAAGAGUUUCGUUUUUCCUGAAACGACCGCGAUGCAUGCCGAUGCACGCACGUCGCGCGAGAGGGUUUCGUGAUUUUUUUCAGAGCGAGUUGCAAGAUCCGCCGGAGGAAGCUGCUCCGCGCAGCCAAUCCGAAGAUAGUCGGCUGUCGUUCGAUGCGCGUUUGACUUAUUCGAUCAAACGAUCGACAUUUAUCAUUCCUCAUCCCCCGGCGCACGGCCUCGCCCUUCCGUUUGCGCGUUUUGCGCCUUUUGCGAUUAAAUUAAAUGCCUGUACGAUCGACGCAAAGUAGUGGCAGGUGCGCUCGGAAAACAGGAAGAAGCUAAACAGAAAUACUUUAAUGAAGAGCAUUAGAUAAGCAUGGAAUAAAAAUAAUCUUUAUCUCUCGGAGUGUCCAGUCUUUUCAUGCAACUACAUAUAUACGAGCUUGGUUUUCGGCGCAAGAGUAAAAAGACGCGGUUCUAUAUAGCGGCGGACAUUUAACGAUACUUACCGUGUCGCUCAACGCGUGUCGCACGCAAUUGGAUUAUUAAUUAGCAGCUAGUUGUAAGCAGGUUUGAUACGCUGCGCAGCAAUGAUGAUAAAUCACUGUUUUUCAUCGCGAUGCACGGGGUCGCCGACCAACGAGACCAUUGACCAUUGACCGUCAGGCGAGGUAUUAACGACCGCGUGUCCAGCGUCCGUGCGCGGACGCUUAGAAGCAUUAUUCUAUCGCGAGAUAGCGGCUAGAGUUGCGCGCUAUUACGCGCGUCAUCGAGCGCCGCGCAAGAAAUUUUUCGAGCGUCAACGGGCAAUUAUGAAUUCCAUGGAAUUGUCCGAACUACAAGCAGCUCCGAUAUACCGUAACAACCGAUUACCGGUCAUUUAUGCAUUCGUAAUCCUUUCUCCGCGUCUCCGCCGUUGCGCUCAAUCGUCCUCGAGCAUUAAUCGACACGCGGACGGUGGUUUUUACCGAAUGCCGAAUCCGGUUUGCGCCGCUUUGUUCGCGUCGCCAAUAAGUAAUCGUUCCCCUUAAUACCUCAAUUUACCGCCGAUUUUCUGCCCCUAACUGCUCAUGCAGGCGUUUAUCGCCGUCGCUAUGUGUAUCAUUGGUUUCCCGCCGUCUCCCAACCGUUUCCCUUAACGGUCGAUUAAUAAUAGGCAACACGUGGCGUUCCAGUUUCGUGCCUGCUGGCAGCCACGGUAAAGCGUUCUCUUCCUCGUGCCCGGCGUCGCGCUAAUUAGCGUAUCGUGGAAGUUAUCGAAAAUCCACGUGAGCGUUACAGAUAAUGUUCAUUACCGCAAUCUCGGUCUAUUUGCGAAAUCUAAUGGACCACGCCCAAUACCGGCGAUCGGAGCAACCUUAUAGACUCCGCGAGAAAGAAGACUGUGUAGUCCGAUGGCUGUACUGGCUGCGGACUUAUUGUGUGAUAAUUUAAUCGAUAACAUCUCCUUACGGUUAUUCCGAGCACGUCGGGGCAGCUGAAUUUUACCUUAUUUGCCACUUAUCUAUAUUUUCCAUCGAUCUCUAUAAUCCAUGAUAAUUCAAAUUUCCAAUAAUUUGACGUGUACUUCACAGGUACGUGCACUAGGAAUACUCGCGGAACUCGCUUUGAAAUUAUAUAAAUCUUCAGCUUUAUAGGUCUGGCACGUGUAAUAGGCAUACAUAAUUCUUUCAAAUUGUAGUCGAGGUUUCUUUUGCAUCGGCGACGAGAUAUUAUAUCAGAUUGGAGACUUAGGGCUUCAUUGCAUCAAUCUAUUUGUAAUUCGAUAGCAGUAGUAGUAGUAGUAGUAGUAGUAGUAGUAGUAGUAGUGUAAUACUAAUCGAAGACUCUUCAAUCAUUUUCUUCUACAACACCCGAAGCAACCGAGAUUACAGGUAAUGCCGGACCGGCGCGGCAUCCAGGCCUGGAUGCCGCAAGAAAACGUCAGUAAAUCCAAGCGGAGGCAACGACGCUCCGUGUGCCGAUCGAGAGCCCAAUUUCAGUCGCGUCACGCGCGCUUACCUUACCUCUCUUAGCCGUAGGCUGUAAGCCGAUUUUCUAUUGCGGCCGCGUUUCGCGCGGCGCGCACCGUAAGAAGGGGCUAUUAGAGCGACGCGUCCAUUCAUAAUCCAUUCAUAAAUUAGCUCAGCCAAGGAGGGAGAAUAAUGGCAUGUAUACCGGCCCCGUGUAUAAGGAUUCCCUCUUGACCCGCGGACCGACGUUCACGUGGUGGACGAGGACGUGGUGGCGCGGAUGGGGAGAAGAGGAAACCGCAAAGUUGGAGCAGGACGGUAGAAGAUACUGUGAAGAUCGGUUACGAUCCGCCGCGAUUUCGCUCGUCCGCUCACGGGCGGAUCGUCGCGCCGCGAUGGAAUUUAUGCGUUUAGGCGUCGGCUGAAUGCUGAUGUAUACGGCCUCGUAUAAUGUUGCUAUCGCGCGGCCGACGGCGUAAUGGCUCGCCGCGCCGUCCCGGAAUGAUGGCGUAUACGACGGCGCGCGGCGCGUGCUAUCGGUAAUUAUUUAUCUAGCCGAUCCCCGAAUGACCGUAGCAACGUAGGAACGUGCGCUGGUCGAUGCCCUAUAUCGACAGUGUACAUCCCGCACGCGCGCGCACGCGCGCGCGCGAUCUCCCUUUUCCUCUUUCCCAUAGUCUCAUGUUUGUCCCCUUAAUCCGUCCUGGCGCCGUUGACGAGAAAGUCUUCUAUGGCGUUGUCUAUUGCGCGACAUUUUACGAUGUCAUAUACAAUCAUAAUGCACGGAUGACGCGUGUGGAUUAGAUUUGCGCAAUGUUAAUAACGCGCUUUGCGCACAAAGAUGCACGUCCAAACUUUUCAGUCCCUAAUCCUUAAUACAAAAUGUGAGUUUAGUCAGUUAUCAAAUAUUCCGUCACACUAUGAUGAUAAUUGAUGGUGUAUGCAAUAAUAAUUACUUCAAAUACAUCUUUAUAAAUGCGCUAUCUAAAUAGGACUUUAUGAUGCGUAUUAAGAGGGUAGCAUACCACGCAAGCGUCGGAGCCACUUAAUUUUUUGCCAAGCAGAUAUCUCGUACAAUAUUUUAAAUUAAUUGCGUCCUAAAGAUGCUAGAGAUAUACCUUGUCUCGCCGCGUAAAAGAUGCGUUACGCAAUUUUUACGGGUAAUUACGAGCGAUAGCGCGACGGCCGACGCUGCAACUCGUCCCGAUAACACCACGGCCGCGAUUGCGUGCAGCGGACAAGAUUAUAAGCAAUUAGUCAGUUAUCGGUCGAUUCUAAAUCAUUGUUUCUCGAGACGCCAACGAGACGCUCGAGAUAUCUCAGUCUUCCCUUCCCAGUCUCUUAUUUCUGCGCGCCCCCUUAAUCGCGCUGCAGCUUUAUACGUCGCGCAAUCAGAGGAUUUUACGACGAUCGCAAAUGCCGCAAAGAACACUGCGUAAAUAAAUAUGCACGCAUGUCCGCAUGCAGCGCGCCGGUGGUUAAAAUCGCCGUUGCGACGUCGCAUCGGUGAAAGAAGACCACGUGGCGUGGCGCGUAAAUUAACCGUAAAUAGAUCUCAUAUGCACGAUACAAUCUAUCGUCGUCGUAAGAUCAAUCUUGUCGCCGAUCGUCCCUUCGCUGCCUUCGCGACCUCCGUUCAUUUUUAUCGUUGACAUUUUAUCGCGUACUUUCCUCUCCGUCACGCGUUCGCACUUUCGUCGGCGCGAAUUAAACGCGAUGACGCUCGGCGAUACUGUUGCUACACUGUUGCGUGACCUAACGGGGGUCCGCCCUCUAAUUUCAUUUGUCGAGAUUCUAUCGCGAAAUUUAUACGGUCAACCGAUGGAAAUACGUCGUGGAAACCGAUAAAGUGGCCACGCAUAAUGCAAAUUACGCGUCUCUCGAGCUUCCACGUUCGGCGAGCCGUUAAAUCGACACGAACGCGAAGAAAUGCAUUUCCUUUACUCAUUUUGUAAAAAUAGCUGCUUGAUUUCCCGACGGUUAUGGAGAAUUUAGAAUCAGAACAAAUUCGUCUUUUUCACGCGAAUGUGACAGGUUCAUGCAUCAUUGAUUAGAACGAUAAAUAAUUAUAAUUAAUGCAGAAACAGGUGGACAUGUCCGGUUCUGGCAAGAUAAAUCUUUUAAUCCGAAAUCUUUUAAUAAUAUCGCCAUUUCUGUAAUGAUAAAUAAAAAUUUCGAUUCCUAUGCCAAUAGCGUGUUAUUUGUAUAAUGCGUUUUUUCAUGUAUAUCGCCGAUCAUAUUAAAUCUAACUGAUCUCGAUCGCACUUCGGCAACUUGCUUACACGGAUUAUACAGAAUGCGAGUCACGUAAGUGCGACCGAAAAACAGACAGGGAAUCCACGAUGAUGUAUCGAUAUUAGAGUGACGCAGCGCGGGCUGGCGGGAUCCCCGAUACAUGCUAUUGAUACUUCGGGAUUCGGCGUCCUUGAUCCUGCGUAUGCUCGCGGCCUACAAAGAAGUCUACUAUUUGAAACGCGUUCGCCUGUCGAAGGAAUCUCGAGUUCAUCACGCCGACUGAGACGCUGCUAUUACUGAGAGACUGAAAUCAGCAAUCGCAAGAAGUUUUUUCUGAUACCUCGGACUUGCAAACGUAUAUAUUAAAGUUAAUGAAUUUAAUUUUAUUUAUAUCUUUUCUCAAUGCUUCCAGAGUUGUGAAAUUCCGAUAACUUUGCUAAAAACAGCUCUUGAAUAUUUAUAUUUUAACAAAAUGCGUUUUUUUUUUGUUAUUUAUGCACGAUUAUACUACGGUAUUUUGUACAGUACAAUUUCGCUUAAAAUUGUGCCGAUGAACGGGAACUUUGAAACUGUGUAUUGUCGGCUAUCAAUUGGUACAGUAGGUAGGUUGAUAUCGCAUUAACGGUACUAAGGAGAGUCGGGACUGAGUAAAUACUCAUGUAGCGAUACUCAUGACAAGGACGAGCCGUGUCGCAACAGGAAGCAACCGACAGUUCGACUGGUCAUGAUGAGUGAUGAGCAUCUGAAAGAUAAAAUUUGAUAGAGAUUAAGUUUUUGUAGCAAUAUUUCAUUCUUCUGCGGAAAGAUGCUUUUAGAGAGAAAGAUAUGUUUUCAGUAAAUAAAUACAUUCACCGUUAUUAAUAAGGUAAAAGUGCAAUACCACACUAAAUAUAAAACUGAAUAUAUUUGUUGCGAAUAAAUUUGUCGCCAAAAAAUGUAAUUUAAUAAUAAAACAUAAAAUAAAUAUUAUAUUAAAGAAAAAAUAUUUAGAAUUGCAUGCGCAAAAUGAAAAAGUAAUGCCAAACCUGAAAAAUCUACAUUUAUGUGCUAUAUAAAGUAAUAAAGCAUGUCCGCGGGUUUUUUAGUGAUGCAACGUUAACGAUUAUGAUGACAGGUUUAUACCGAGUGAUAAUGCGUUUUGCAUCUUGAUAUCAUUAAUGCCAUUUUUCUACUAUCGUUGGAUAUAAAUUCGGGAAAGUUUGUUAUAAACAUCUUGGUUACUAAGUAAGAUAACAUAGAAAAAAUUUCCUGCCUACUCGAAGUAGGUUUGAUAACGUAAUUAUUUUCUAAUCUAAUCAGCAUUCAUGUACACGUUUUAACUUUCACGCGUGCACGCAUGCGAGGAAUUUUAAUAAAAAAAAAAAAAAAAAAAACAUGCAUUUUUCUCAUCUUUGAUAAUUCCUUGGACAUUCACAUUGGCAAAUAUAAUAUUUCUUGAAAAAUUCGAAAAAUUUACGCGCAGAAUUUUUUUAGAUUGUAAGUUUGCUUUUCAAGUAAUUUUCGAAAUUUACAAUUUUGAAGAAAAUUAUCAGACAACGACUAACACAAUGUUUACAUCUACCAAAAUAAAUGUAAGCAGGCGAAGGAAUGACAAAAAUCAUAGCGGCGUCCCCGUCGAAUAUCGAGAGGCCGAGAACACUAAGUGCAUUUAAUCCCGAGCACAGCGCGACAAAAAAGGGCCAUCGGCUCAUCGCCGAACCGGCGCGCGGCGGCACGGAGUGCGCAUCACGGAGUCACGAAGAAGCAUGAAGGGAGGAAGCGGCAGCCGCAGAAGAGGACAAGGAGGAGGAGGAGGAGGAGGAGAAAAAGAAGACGAUGAUGAAAAGGAUGAGAAGAGAAGAGAAGGAAGAUAGCCUCGGCCGGCGCGUCGGUUCCCUCGUGGCAAUGCGGGUGCCGAUUACGGGCGGCGGGCUUGAAUCGCAACGCGACGCGGCUUUAUGCGCCUUGAUAGCUAGCUGCACCAGGAGGCGGCGCCGCUACGUGCAACGGCGAGAGCCUACCUACCGGACGAGAAGUCGGGGACCCAUUGGCCACCGCAAUGACCAAUCAUCAUUUGACAUUCUUUCACCUUGCUUCGUGCGUGUGUGCGCCAAACCGCCGUGCUGGGCAACGCGGAGCCGCUUGCACGUACGCGCGCACGCACACGUACGCGCUUGUACACGCACGUGAUGUCGCGGUCGAUAUACAUCGAACGCGCCCGUUACCACUACCACCGCUGCGGUCACCACUACUACCGAGGAUCGCAGGCGAUCGAGAGCGCCGUCUGACACCCGGCUGCAAGCGGCGCGGAACACAUGCAGCGUCGUGCUUAGCGUGCAUCGGUAGCCGGCCGAGUACAGGUUUAUUAGGAAAAAUCGGAGUCACUUCGAAUUUCAAGUUGCGUCUGAUAUAUAGCGCUUACGUCCCGUGUACGUCGAUGUACCCGCUUGAUUUUAACAUCGCGCGGAGCGAUGCUAUUUAUGGAACUGAUUUGCAACGUGGAUACACGCGACGUCUGUCUAAAAAAGAAAGAAAAGAAAAAAGAAACGUACGUACAUCGGUAGCGCGAUGCUUCUUGACGAGUGGUAUGUGUUUGGAUGCUUGCUUGCCAACUAUUAAAUUAAUUACUCAAGUACAAAGUUAGAUUAAUCCUAACUUACGCGCACGAAGAGUGUAUUGAUGUCUCCGGCGUUGAUAUCUCCAAAGCGCUGCAUCGCAAUCAGCGUUUAUUGACAUUGAGAUGCACACAUGUACGACAAAAUUCCAAAAUAAAAAUAAAUAUAGUUAUACAUAAUGUAGCGUAUUUUAUUAAUUAAUUAAAUUAAUUUGAUUAUCAAUUUAAUAUUGUAAUUAUUUACUGCUUUUGUUCAACUUAGAAUUGUUUCAAGAUCGAAAAUUUAUUUGGCAGGCAGUUUAAUGGAUUUGAAAAUGCGUACAAAGCACACAAGAAAUAUCAGCACUAAUAUUCAGCUAUGAGUCGAAUAAGGCUCAUUUUUUUAUUAAUUUAUUAAUUAACUCUGCUCGGAGAGUUCCAUCACUAAUGAAAAGUUGUGCUUUUCAAAAAGUUUUUAAACUUUAAAAAAAAAAAUUUGAUGCAUAUUUUUAAUAUUUAGAAAUAUGACUGUUCAAUUAUAUGACUUGAAACAUCUUUACUUUUUUUUUAUGGAUACUUUUUUUAUUCAAAGAGAUAGAAUCGGUAAAAUGGAAAAAAUUGUCUGGAUCAAUAUAUCCAAGCUAAUCCGCGGAGAGCGGAGAGUUAAGUUACGAUUCUUGAAUUAUUAAUUUCAUAGAUAAUAUUCACAGUUUAUUCAGGCAACGUCUAUAUACAUGUUGCAUCUAUAAUCGUAAACUUGCUAUUCAUUCAAUGAAUGGGAUUCUCCGCGCAAACAGAUUUCUCGUUACACGAUGCGUUGUGCUAUGGGUGUGCCCCUUUCCAUUUCGUGAGCCAAACGAGAGCACCUUUCGCCAAUACCCUGCACACGAGUGCAGGAAUGUGGUGGGGCUAAUCUCUUUGCCAAUUUGCGAUUCUUCGGUUUCGAUUGCGGAAUUUCAUUGACUGCUAUCGGUUAGGAAUCGUCUGCUGAUCUCCAAACCGGUAAAUUUCGAAAUGACUGACUUAUUGGAAAUAAUUUAAGCCAUGCACUUUUCAGCCGCUUGAUUUAUGCGCACGAAGGAAGUAACGUGCCGGCACGAGGUGAUAUAUGUACCAGUCAUCCAAUAAAUAUCAGAUGCAAAAUUGUCCACUAAAUACAGGAAAUAAUAUGUCCAUACCGUCUCACGUCAUGACCUUAUUUUAAUAAAUUUUUCAAAGCUCGUAACAUUAUUACAAACUUAGCGUUUCUUUCUUAUGUUUAUUAUAAAAAAAAAUUAGAUAUAUGUAAGAGUUGGUAAAACGAUCGAAAAACUUGAAAAAGAUAAGGAUUAAAGAAGGAGCAGCUUGUAGAUAACAUUUGAAUACAUACGCAGCUUGUUUACUUCCUCAACCGCCAUUCCAACAGUCAAGAUAAUAUUUGUGGUCACGAAGUCUCGUGUGCAUCGCGAUGUAUACAUACGUUAGCGCGAGCCUCGACAAUUUGCCGUGCCAGAAUUGAAAUCAAGAUCGCCAUGAAGGUCUUCUGUAAGUACUUGGUAGCGGGAUGUUUAUCAGAUAAGAGUUUUUAGUCCCUGCAAAAUACUAUAUAUAUGAGUCGUAUCUGAUUUUAAAUAAUAUCGACACUAUCCAACUCUUUGGAGAACUUUCGUUAAUUAAUAGAAUCUUCACGUGCAUAUUGAUCAUUAAUGAUAAUCGCGAUCCACAUCGCUAUUUACAAUCUUAAGUCCGGUUAUAUAUAGACGGAUACGCGGGUAUUACUGAUGCACGCGUUGUCACCGGGCUUAGGACAUCAGGGACACGCCAAGGGGUUGUUGACACGACGCGGCACUCGGCGCAGUCUCGCGCCUGGAAAAACGCCGACUUAGGCAUUCAACAUGCCAGCUGCGACCGAUUCCGCGGUAGCACACGCCGGACCAGUUCAGCGAAUUGAGCAGCUCCACUUGCCAUAUCCCGUCACAUCCUGCAGGCAUUUCCCUGCCUAUUACGGCCGCGACGGAUCACGGCCUAGGGCAAAGAACUGUUCAAUGAAAUUCUUUGCUGCGAAAACUCGACUCUCGUGGACUUGUGUGCAUCUCGCCCGUUCCGGGAAAUAGACCGCGGAAUUCGAUUCAGUCGCCAUUGCGGCUCGGAAAUCGCUAAUAUCACCUUCGAAUAAUAUCGAAGAAAGGAGAGCAUGAGAAAACGUUUGACUGCAAUACGUUAAAUUCUAUCGCUACGGAAAAUCAAAUUUUAUUUUAUUUCAAUAACGAUUUCCACCUAAAAAAAAAAAAUUAUUACUUCAUAACGUGUAUGUGUAAUGAAUAAUCUUUUUUAGAUUUUACUACAUCUCUAACUUUUUUAUCAAAUAAAAUACACUUAGAAAAUCCACGAUAGAUACAUUAAUUUAAAUAUUUCCUAAAUUAAAAUUGAACUUGCCAUUAAUAGUAUUCAUUGCUUUACAGGAAUUUAAUUAAUUUGAAAGACAAGUUAAAAAUACUAUCAAUUGAGUUUUACAGAAAAAUAAUUAAAAGUGCACACACACACUUGGUAUCUUUUAUUUUAUCUUUUUUUUUGCAAAAGUAUAUAUUUAUCUGACGCGUAAAAUGUGAAGCGGUUUUCAGAGCGUAGCACGAAAAGAAUUUUGAUAUAUCAACAGGAUAUCGACUAGUUACGCAUGGCAAAAAUAAUAUGCCCGCGCAAACGUACGACCUCGAACCUUGAUUUACCUCUCGCAAGGAAAGUGGUAUGUACCGUAAAAUGUAUAUCAGAAUGAAACGCGUCGUAAUACGCACGGUAUCUAGAUGCAGUUAACUACGUGUCACGGUUCACCGCAGAAACAACAAUUACGUGAAAAAUGACUAUUGCGCGGCGUGAAGGUCAUUGCGGAGCAACAAGAAUCGCUAUCCGAGCGAUCAUACGUUGCAGAGAGAUAUUUACCUGGCCUAUCCCGCCAGCUUCUAAUACUUUAUAGCUUAUGGAAGUUAAUAUGCCGAUUAAAUGCAAAUUCGCUGCAAGCGAUUAAAUCACAAACACCGAAGAGGCAGCGUCGCGGAAAGAUUAUAAAUAAUCUGACAUACCAUCAUCGAAUAUCGAAAUGUCGCACUCGAAGUCCAUCGAGAGAGAGGAAUCGUUGAUUUUUCACGCCUUGAAUGGUAAAGAGAUUAGUGCAAAAUGAUGAUUGCUUAGUCGCUGCAAUAAUCCGCUCUAGCGACAAACAGAACAGUAGCGCGCGAUGGGAAUAAUAAGAAGUUCGAUUGCCCUGAGUGACGAGGAAUUAGGUGACAUAAUGAUUUACUAAGAAGCAGCUGUCAGAGAACGAGCAUGACAUAACAGACUCUAACGAGCCGGAACUUGUUAUUCUCCUUAAAAAAGUUGGCCGUUACAUCACACGCACCGUACGUUAACGGUGAUGGCGAAUACCUUUCAGCUUAAAUAUAAUUAAACAGUUUUUUAUAUACAAUAUAAAAAAAAGAAAGAGAAAAAACGAGAAAGAAGAGAUAAGAUAUUGCCAUAUAUUCGACACAUGUGUAUUUUAUGUAUCAAGAUACUAAAUGUGAUCCUUUAGUUUUGUUCUCCUUCAGGGUCCAAUUCCUAGAUCCCAUCAUCCAGUACUCAUCCUAAGCCUAAAAUCACAUCCAUCAGACAAUACGGCCUGGUAAGAUGAAGAGGCGCCGCAUUGGCGUGGGCCACAAUCUACCUUUCUCUAUCGCUUCGUGACGUCUCGUAACGAUGAUUCUGACGAUUUUCUUUUCGUCACCGAACCCGCGUUGGGGUUACCCUGGUCCGUAUGACCAUCCCUAAGUGGCUGCGCGACCGGUGCAUUAGUUACGGCCGGAUUGGUAAUGACGUUUUCAUUCUAAUAAAUGAUGCGCGCGAAGACGCAAGAGCGUAGCGAGGUCGGCGAGGAAAGAAAGGGCCAGAGUGGCCGAAGAGAAGGAAAACGAAGUGGGAUAGAGCGAGGAGUCGGUCGUUGUCCAGAGUCGACGAUGCACCCUCGUCCUUUCUCUCCCGCUCGAUUCUCUACCCAACGUCUCUCCCCUCUCUCUCUCUCUUUCUCUCACACACACACACACACACACUCACACACGCACAUAUAAUACAUACGCAACUUCGGGAUGGUUCUUUUGCGCUAAACCGUCUCCUUCUCCUGGGUGGAGGAUUUUCUCAUCGUCGGAGGACUCGUCAGUUUCUUCGAGAGGCGCCCUUGGCCCUCUCCGGACCUCGGCCGGUACCUCUCCGGCCCUUACAUAUAUGUAUUUGUAUAUACAUGUGUAUUGCGGGCGCAUAUAUGCGAGCCGACACACGCGCUCUCCACUUCCUUUCGCCGCGUCUCUCGUUCGUUCGUCCGUUCGUUCGUACAUUCGGUCCCGAAGAGUCGAAGGAAGGCCAACAGCGGCAAGAGAAGAAGACAGGGCGUGGUCGCGAUCUCCCGCACUGCGAAGCGCGUUUAUUUGGUCGAGAAAUAUCUCCUACGUUCCCUCCGUCGGCACUGACAUCGUAUCUAAAGAGAUGCUCUCUCUUCCCCUCUCUCUCUCUCUCUCUCUCUCUCUCUCUCUCAGCGGAUUAAAAUAUUUAAAAAAAGCAGCAACUAAACUGUUUCCUCUUUGCUCCUUAAAAUCUUAUGAUACACAUUUGCAAUCAAAGCGAUGUUUCCAAGAUAUAUUAAUAAAUAUUGAUAACUUGAACAUCUGUGUGUGAAUUUAAUUGAACGAAUUAAACGAAAUUUAUUGAAUUGAAAACUGAGUUUUAUGUUUUUAAUCUCUUGAGACCUGAGGCGCGUACUUCAUACUCCUGUAUCUUUAUCCUAUCUUCCACUGCCCCUCCCUAACUUAUGCCCAGCUUCCGAUGGACCUUCGCGCAUACGCCCUUUCCUCGUUCUCUUUCCACACUUUCCAAUCGGCGCGGCUAGAGCAUGUACGUGCACACGUGUACGCACGUGUGUCGGGUCGCAUCGAAAGGCGCGUCACGCGUUUCGAGUCGUCCAUCUAACAUCGUUCUUCGUAGUAUGGAAGAGAAACGGGGAACGUGGACAGCGCAAUGAGUAUGGCUCGCUACGAAGGAACGAAAAUAGCGAAGAGGGAUAGAGAGAAAUGGGAGCAAGGAGGAGAACAGAAUACCAGCGCGAGGAGUAAAAACAGCCCUCUUCUGCCCCUUAUCUUGCUCUCUUUUUCCCAUCGAUCCCUCCUUUCCUUCUUGGCAGAGUCACGUCCUCGGACUUUGUGUCGAAAAAGAAGAGACGAGAUGGAGUGAGGACGAGGUUCAGGAAAUUUACGCCUGGAUGAUUAUCGCUCGAUCGAUUCGUGGAUCGAUAGGCAUCCGUCCGGGUAGAUAGCUCCGCUAGCGGAUGGAUUUAAUUACGAACGGAAUAUUUAGUCGGUUUAUUUUAGUUCCUAUAGUCGUGAACGCUCUUCAUCCUGUGACAGAAAUAUUACGUUGUUACUUGGAAAAUACUUAGAACUAAUUUAUAGAAGCAUGUUGAUUUUAAUACAACAUUUUCUUUCUCCUUUUUCCGUUUUUACUAGAUAAAUCGGUUUAUUAUUUUGAUUUCGUCAUAUCAAAAUUUGCUCCACUUUUAAAAAAGAACAUUAAAUUGAUACUGCUUAUUAUUUUGUUUUCUUUUCUAGCUUUGUAGGCAAUUAAUAAGAUUCAAAUAUCAGGUCAAUUAGUAAUAGUACAUAAAUAAUUUUAUUUCAUUUUAAGUUAAAUAAUAUAAAAAAAUUGAUAAAUAAUCAGACAAUAAAGUUUACGUACAAGUUCCAUAGUCGUAUAAAAUUUUUUCUGCUUGAGGUAAAGGCUGAGAAAAUAUUUCAUCACAUUACAUCAUAUUUGUAGCUUGUGCCUUGCCAGUUUUCUAUAACUUAUUUAUAUAGUACACGAUUAUGUAUUCAAAAAAGAAAAUUGCCAGUAAACAUGUGAUAAUUGUUCUCGUACGCACAGAAAGCGCACAUUCAUUCUCAUUAUAUCGAACGAAUUAUCAGAACAUUGCAUAUUGAACGAUUUACACGACAAUUCCACAAGUGACCUCGAUUCCAAGUAGCAUAUCGCAUAUCGGAGCUCUUCAAGGCCGUUCUACCAAAUGAGACCCGGAAUCGAACACCGUACACCUCAAAUGAGGUUCUUGAUCGUACGUGAGAUUUCGCCUUCUCUUUCGCUACUUCUCGCUACAUCUGUCAUCAAACUUUAUAGAAUAUUUGUACGGUCUUCGAAUUUCGAGGUGUUUUCACUUUCUUCAUUAAUGACGACCAUUUAUAAACAGAUUCCGUUAUUUAAAACGGUCCAUGUGGUUCCAAUUUCGAUUCAAACCAAAUCUUAAAAAAAAUUUCAGCUGAAUUAAUUUAAUUUAACAGGAAAUUUAUCUGUUAUUGUUACACGUUAGAUUUAUGAUCCUUUCCCUCAAGCAUUUUUAUUUUUUUUAUUUUUUUAUAUCGCUGCGAGCUUUGAUACAGUUUGUUAGAAUUUACAAACAUGGAAAUAAUGGUUACUACGCAAAUGGUCGAGCUAAUAAUAAUGGCCAUAACGAAAGCUCUUUAUAACCGCGUAUAAUUCGCCCGGAGGAAGAAUCCUGCGGCGCCGAUCCAGUCCCAAUAUUGUAACCGCGAAUUACUGGAAAUGCCUUAUUUUGCGAAUGUCACAGACGGCGGUGUAAAAGGAAAAAGAAGAAGAAAAAACGAGGCUGCCAGUGUUAAAUUCUCUCUCUUCGUGUACAGACAAGCCAGAGGCCUCUCAUUACAGAUUCCGUGCAGAGUAUUUGAUUACCGGCAACGAUAACAAAUUUCAGUAAUGCGCGUUGAGAACGAGGAGAUAAUUAAUAUCAUCGAACGCGUCUCGCGUAUAAAAUUCUUUCCGCCGAGGUGGACGUCUAUGUAGCCGGAGGAGAGGAGGAGAGAGAAAGAGAGGAAACAUGCCCGAUGCGGACGUACGGAAGAUGUAAUCCAACGUGACACUGAGGCGGAAAGUAACAUCCCGAGGCAAUGUAACUCGACGAUGUACGACGUGAUGAACGAGCGCUCGCCGUGAAUCAUUUUAUGAGUUUUAUAAUAUUGGCCAGGUUUAUAUAGAUAGCCUGUCUCAGAAGUCGCGCACUUUCUCUGAGCCAAUAUAAGAAGAAUAAUGGUCGUUUCAACGUUACGGACGAUACGAAAUUCUUACAGUAAAUACAAAGGGGAGCGAAAUACGUACUUAGCAAAAUGCGAAGCUCGACCAAUUUUAAAUAAUUUGUAAUUUUAAUAGUCAAUAGAUGAGUCGAAGACCAUAAAGUAUCAUUGUCAAUAUUGUUAUCGAACUCGGAGACAUACUUCUACGGCGAUUCGUCGUAAAAUUGCGUACGGAUCGCCGCUAGAAAUUCCAGAUACGCGGUUUCACUAAGGAGCGGCCACAAUCUGGGAAGGAUUAAAGCGAGAAGGAAGGCGGAGAGGAACCGGGUAUGGAAGGCCGCGAAAACGAUGUCAGCACGACGAAACGUAGCGCAGACAAACGGGGGCGGGCGGGGACCGAGAAAGAGUUUAAGCUGGUUCGGUUUUCUCCUUGGCCUCUGGAUCGCGAUCGUUUCCAUCGGAGCGCGCCCGGGAGAGCAGCCGCGCCGGUAGCCAGGGGGCAGAAGCAAAAAAAUUCAAAGCCGACGCCACUCAUGCCGGCGAACGGAUUUUUAUAUCGAGCACAUACAGAGCCGACAUGCGUACGAUAAUGCAUGUGCGUGUGUGCGUACGAUGACUCGCGCGAUGCUACUGCACACGAAAAAGACUGUAUGUAUUUAGCCUUGUACAGAUCAAUACGCACAAGUAUCUCUAGCCUUUGAUGCGACAUUUUUUAUAUCAAGAUCACUUGGGAGAAAUUAUCGAGCUAUCGAAAUUAAAAUAUUCUGAAUAAAAGAGACUUUAUACGUUUCUUCUCUUUUUUUAAAUUGGAUCGAAUAAUGCUAAGUUUAAUAUAAUAAAAAUUAACCGCUUCUUGGCGAAAGCUGCAUGAUACAAUAAAUAUAUAUAAUAAUAAAAAUUAAAUAACAGUUUAAGAUUAAUAUAUUACAACUCACAAAAGUAAAAUAUUCAGCUUGAAAAAUAAAAAUUUAUAAGAUAAGCUUGCUUAAUAAUUCCGCUUAAUUUAGUAUAAUUUUUGUUUUCGUAUGCCGCCACAAUUAUUUUUGAGAAGUAUUUUUAGAAACGCAGCUUUUCUUGGUUUCUAGAAGGCAUUGAAGAGAUAAUCUUUACUGAUGUGACAAAUAGAUGUAGAGAUUCUAAUUAAAGUAAAAUAUUUCUAUUGCUACUCAAUUACAUAAAGUUUAGAUUAUAUGAAACGAUAAUGUUCUUGAUGCUCGCUUAAUUUGUAAAUUAAUACGGAAAUGAAGAAAGUUGGAAUUUUCUUGUUUGCCACAGAUAGAUGUGCAUGCUUGAUAUCAGUUGAAAACUUUUUAAUGAUCGACAUGUACCGGAUUGCGCGCAUGUAAGGUGAAGAAAGCGUGUGCGCGGUGCAAAGACAGACUUCUCUUUCCUCGAAGCGAGGGAGCGCGAAGGUAUACUUUGUCCAGGAGUGUUGCACGUAUCGCAUCGGAUUUCACGUUGGGCCUGUGGUUCCUUGGGAAUGGAUACUUGCGCGGUUAUGGAUUACGAUCGCGGCAGUUUGCAGCCACGACUGAGGGGAUAUACAUAAGACAAGUACAUAAUGCACGUGAAGCCUUUCGAUUCAGCGAUUGACCCUUACAAAGCCUUAGUGAAACGAAAUCUGGGAAGAUUGUUACGAAAAAUAAAUAGCUAAAGAUUGUGAUACUAAAUAUGAAAAGUAUAACGACUCAUAAUUAUAAAUGAGAGUAAGAUGAGUCGUAUAUGAACAUCAGCUGAAAAAUGCUGAGCGAAUUUUUGAAUGAAGAUCAUAAAGAGCAUAUUUAAUUACUGUAAAUAUCUCUCUAAAAUAUAUACAGGGUGAUUAUUAAUGAAUGUCCCUACUUUUUACCAUAGGAGCAUGAUUUACCGAUGGAUACGUAUUUCUAACAUAUUAGAAAUUACAAAUGCGUGCUCCUAUGGUAAAAAGUGGGGGCAUUCAUUAAUAACCACCCUGUAUGUAUAUAAAAAAAAUAUAUAAGUAGGAAAUUUGUAUUAUAGAAAUAUUUAACCGCACAAAUAGCUUAUACGUCAUUAUAUACAUAUGAAGUACAAAGAACAUAAAGAAAAUAAUUCAAACUCGGGAAUAUGAAUUUCAUUUUUGAAUCACAAAAAUCUUUUUACAAAGUUGAAAAAAGGAAGAAUGUAAUGAUGCAUUACACUAAAUAAGAAAAUUGAAGAAAAAAUUGAAAAUUUACUUAUACAUAGUUGUCACUUCAGGUUAAUUUUAUCUUAAUGUAGAAGUUGGGUAGCAAACUCUUUUACACUGUUUAGAAAUAUCUAACAAUGUUGACUAUAUGAAAUUACAACUAAACGUCCAACGAAAAAGAUUUUCAUUGAUUUAGCUUUACACGUAUUCAUUUAGCUUGUUAGCGAAGAUAAACCAUUAUAUAGCGGAUAUUCAUAGUCGGCUCUUAAUUAUAUUUAAGACCGUCUUAAGUACCAUUUUGAGACAGCAUUAACCAAUCACAGAGCCGUAUUAAUAACUGAAGACAUUACUUAAGAUAGUCUUGAUAUAAAAAUCAAUUAUGAAUUGAUUAAUGAACCUACAAGUGCGCUGAACAAAGACAGCACAAAGUCUAAAAUUAAAUCAUAAGACGCCUUUAAGCCUAUAAGAUGUUUUUAAGACUACUUUUGAAAAUGUAUAUUAAAGACAUCUUUUAGAUGUUUUAUGACCCGAUUUUAGACUUUGUAUUGUCUGGGAGCGCUAGCCUACUCACUUGAUCUUAGCACUAUUCUCCUUACCGACAUCAAACAAGUUCUGCCUUACUUUUAGCAUUCUAGCUUAAUAAUUAAAUUUUUUUAAGUUGCUUGGUUUGUAAAUUAUGUUCUUUUACAAUUUUUAGUAAUUUCAUAUUAUUUUAUAAUAAUACAUUGCAAAUCUGAACUAAAUUCUAUAGAUAUAUAAUUUCUAUGUUGCCAAUGUCAUAUAAAUAAGCUUCCAUCAUAACCAUCUGUAGAGAAUUGAGUCGUUUCGUGUAUGAGUAAAAUAAUUGAUAAAAUAAUAUUAUAUUUUAAUUAUUAAUCAUAUUGUAUAUAAUUGAUUUUUUUUUAUGUAAAAAGUACGAAAUUUUUAUAUGUUAUGAUAAUUUUAAAAUUACAAAAUACAAUUAUGAUAUGCAUUAUACAUAUACAGUAUAAUAUUAGACUUAAUUGUGAGAAAAAUAAUUUUUUGAAAAUAUUUUUUUUAUAUGUAAAAAGAUAAGUAUCCAUUAUUCCUUAAAAACUUUAGCAAAUUGUAAAAAGCUUAUUUAAAUGUAUCUUAUACUGUAAAAACGUCAGAAGCUUUUUCUUAGAUAUGUUAUAUAUAUCCAAUGUAUAUUAUCGGAUACACUAAAAAAUUUUUUAAAUAAAAUCAAUACAUUUUCUUAAAAUCAUAUAAUUUAAUGCAUUUUUGCUUUAUUUAAAUGAAAAUAUUUCCUUUUAAGUAACUAAACAUAUUAUCUAAAUUAUAUGAUUUUGUUUUUUUAUAUUUGUUACAUUUUAAUAA